rnacentral:rRNA from 1 species
GACGAACGCUGGCGGCGUGCUUAACACAUGCAAGUCGAACGGAAAGGCCCUGCGUUUGUGGGGUGCUCGAUUGGCGAACGGGUGAGUAACACGUGAGUAACCUGCCCUUGACUUUGGGAGAACUUCAGGAAACUGGGGCUAAUACCGGAUAGGAUCUCCUGCUGCAUGGUGGGGGUUGGAAAGUGUGGGCGGUUGGGGAUGGACUCGCGGCUUAUCAGCUUGUUGGUGUGGUAGUGGCGUACCAAGGCUUUGACGGGUAGCCGGCCUGAGAGGGUGACCGGCCACAUUGGGACUGAGGUACGGCCCAGACUCCUACGGGCGGCAGCAGUGGGGAGUAUUGCACAAUGGGCGGAAGCCUGAUGCAGCAACGCCGCGUGCGGGAUGACGGCCUUCGGGUUGUAAACCGCUUUCGCCUGUGACGAGGCGUGGGUGACGGUAAUGGGUAAAGAAGCACCGGCUAACUACGUG